GACGUAGGGCGCGAGCGUUGUCCGGAUUUAUUGGGCGUAAAGAGCUCGUAGGCGGCUCGUUGCGUCGGCUGUGAAAACCCGCAGCUCAACUGUGGGCUUGCAGCCGAUACGGGCGGGCUGGAGUUCGGGUAGGGGAGACGUGGAAUUCCUGGUGUAGCGGUGAAAUGCGCAGAUAUCGGGAGGAACACCUGCGGCGAAGGCGGGUUGCUGGGCUGAUGACUGACGCUGAGGCGCGAAAGCUAGGGGAGCGAACGGG
rnacentral:rRNA from 1 species